GGGGGGGGUGCAAGCGUUAUUCGGAAUCACUGGGCGUAAAGAGCGCGUAGGCGGUCUCUUAAGUCAGAUGUGAAAGCCCGGGGCUUAAACCCCGGAAGUGCAUUUGAAACGGAGGGACUUGAGUAUGGGAGAGGGAAGUGGAAUUCCUGGUGUAGCGGUGAAAUGCGUAGAUAUCAGGAGGAACACCGGUGGCGAUGGCGACUUCCUGGACCAAUACUGACGCUGAGGCGCGAAGGCGUGGGGAGCAAACAGGAUUAGAUACCCUGGUAGUCCACGCAGUAAACGUUGAACACUAGGUGUAGCGGGUAUUGACCCCUGUUGUGCCGCAGCUAACGCAUUAAGUGUUCCGCCUGGGAAGUACGGCCGCAAGGCUA
rnacentral:rRNA from 1 species